AUUGAACGCUGGCGGCAGGCCUAACACAUGCAAGUCGAGCGAGUGGCGGACGGGUGAGUAAUGUAUGGGGCUCUGCCCGAUAGAGGGGGAUAACUACUGGAAACGGUGGCUAAUCCCGCAUACUCUCGGAUGAAACCAUAUGGGAUUAGCUAGUAGGUGGGGUAAAGGCUCACCUAGGCGACGAUCUCUAGCUGGUCUGAGAGGAUGAUCAGCCACACGGGUACUGAGACACGGCCCAGACUCCUACGGGAGGCAGCAGUGGGGAAUAUUGCACAAUGGGCGCAAGCCUGAUGCAGCCAUGCCGCGUGUAUGAAGAAGGCCUUAGGGUUGUAAAGUACUUUAAGCGGGGAGGCGUUACCCGCAGAUGAAGCACCGGCUAACUCCGUGCCAGCAGCCGCGGUAAUAC
rnacentral:rRNA from 1 species